GCCAGGCGUGGUGGCGCAUGCCUGUAGUCCCAGCUACUUGGAGGCUGAGGUGGGAGAAUCACUUGAGCCCAGGAGGUCGAGGCUGCAGUGAACCAUGAUCGUGCCACUGCUCUCCAGCCUGGGUGACGGAGAUCCCACCUCCA
rnacentral:SRP_RNA from 1 species